UACAGAGGUCUCGAGCGUUAGGCGGAAUCACUGGGCUUAAAGCGCACGUAGGCGGAUUGUUAAGUCGGGGGUGAAAUCCUGGAGCUCAACUCCAGAACUGCCUUCGAUACUGGCGAUCUCGAGUUCGGGAGAGGUGAGUGGAACUGCGAGUGUAGAGGUGAAAUUCGUAGAUAUUCGCAAGAACACCAGUGGCGAAGGCGGCUCACUGGCCCGAUACUGACGCUGAGGUGCGAAAGCGUGGGGAGCAAACAGG
rnacentral:rRNA from 1 species